CAUGUAUAAGUUGUUUCACGUACAUAACAAGGCAAACCUGAAGAGUGAAGGCUGCUCAGGCUAAUAAGAAUUAAGAUGAAAGCCUUUACUUAUGUUCUCAUCGUUCUCUUUAUUUUCUCCGUUGGCAUCGAGAAUGAAAGUUUGUUGAAAGUAUCAGAGGCAAAAAAGUGUAAACAAAUACAGAAUGAAGGAGGCUGUAUAAAAAACACAUGCAACAGCGACUGCAGGAGAGUAUAUGGAGGGCGAGCAUCUGGCCAUUGCAAUGCAAUAGAAGAGUGUGUCUGUUAUUUCCCAUGUUAAAUAUUUAAAUAAAGGAUAGUGCAGGGAUGGAUCUACAUGUAGAGGUGUGGGCCCCAUUAAACCAAUAAAUAUAUAUGUGAAUUUACAUAAUGCUUUUAUUAUCA